ensembl:lncRNA
GGCAAGAAUACUGGGAGUGGGUAGCCAAUCGCUUCUCCAAGGGAUCAUCCAACCCAGGGAUUGAACCUGGGUCUCCUUCAUUGCAGGCAGAUUCUUUACCAUCUGAAACACCAGAGAAGCCGAUACCUUUAAAAAGCACCAAUUAAAAUACAAUGAACUAGGACAUAGAAGACAAUUUAUACACUCUCGCGCUUCCACGUGAAGCAGCUUGAAACUUGGGACCAACUUGAACGACUACUUAAUUUGCUAUAUGAGAAAGGCAUAUGGGGUCUUAGUUCCUCAAUCGGAAUGCACCUCCUGCGUUAGAAGACAAAGUCUUAACCAAUGGACCACCAGGGAAGACCUGGGAUUACAAACUUUAGAUGAAAGAGGACGAAGACUCAAAGGCCAACAGUACGGCGCUUUCAACUUGCUUGGGUCCGUGCCCACUCUUUUUCCCCCUCAUGUGUCAGGUGAAUUGAAAUCCCCAUCUCAUUAAGUGUCCAAGGAGUGAGUUUCCUGGUUGCUGAUCUCUGCUUUUCUGUAAGUUUACCAUUUUAUGACCUUAGGGAAAUCGCAGCCAAUCUCCUGUCCAACUUCAAUGUGACAUCUAAUCCACAUAAGAAUUGUUUGCUGAAAUAUCCACAUAGCAAAUAAAGAUUCUGAUACCCAAUUCCAGCUUGUGCGGGGGUUUUCCCCACACCAGCUGCGGGUCCUACAAUUCAACUCAAUUCCAAC